rnacentral:rRNA from 1 species
GACGAACGCUGGCGGCGUGCUUAACACAUGCAAGUCGAACGGAAAGGCCCUGCUUUUGUGGGGUGCUCGAGUGGCGAACGGGUGAGUAACACGUGAGUAACCUGCCCUUGACUUUGGGAUAACUUCAGGAAACUGGGGCUAAUACCGGAUAGGAGCUCCUGCUGCAUGGUGGGGGUUGGAAAGUUUCGGCGGUUGGGGAUGGACUCGCGGCUUAUCAGCUUGUUGGUGGGGUAGUGGCUUACCAAGGCUUUGACGGGUAGCCGGCCUGGGAGGGUGACCGGCCACAUUGGGACUGAGGUACGGCCCAGCCUCCUACGGGGGGCAGCAGUGGGGAAUAUUGCACAAUGGGCGGAAGCCUGAUGCAGCAACGCCGCGGGCGGGAUGACGGCCUUCGGGUUGUAAACCGCUUUCGCCUGUGACGAAGCGUGAGUGACGGUAAUGGGUAAAGAAGCACCGGCUAACUACGUG